AAAGCAGCCUGCAAUCUUAUAGCCAUCUGCUCCUUGUUGAGAUUUGACGCCUCCAAGUGCUGAGCAAGUUCAUACAUAUCUCUUUUCAUCAUUCCAGCAUUAGCAUUAGCUUCAAACACAGUUUCAAGUAACACUCUGGAGAAUAUAUCCAAGUGCAAGUUAACUGAAUGCAUUUCACCAAGUUCUUCUUCAACCUUCCUGUAAAGCUCCUCCUGCAAGCAGAGUGAUCUUUUCAAGUCA
rnacentral:misc_RNA from 1 species